rnacentral:rRNA from 1 species
GAUGAACGCUGGCGGCGUGCCUAAUACAUGCAAGUCGAGCGAACGGACGAUACGCUUGCUUUUCUGUUGUUAGCGGCGGACGGGUGUGUAACACGUGUAUCACCUCCCUAUAUGACUGGUAUCUCUUCGGGAAACCGGAUCUUAUACCGUAUAAUCUUUUGCACCACAUUGUUCAAAAGUGAAAGACGGUCUUUCUGUCACUUCUCGCUGCAUCCCGGCUGCAUUAGCUAGUUGUUAAGGUAACGGCUUACCAAGGCAACGAUGCAUAGCCGACCUGACGGGGUGAUCGGCCACAUGGGAGCUGGAACACGGUCCAGACGCCUAAGGGAGGCAGCAGUAGGGAAUCUUCCGCAAUGGGCGAAAGCCUGACGGAGCAACGCCGCGUGAGUGAUGAAGGUCUUCGGAUCGUAAAACUCUGUUAUUAGGGAAGAACAGAUGUGUAAGUAACUGUGCACAUCGUGACGGUACCUAAUCAGAAAGCCACGGCUAACUACGUG